AUGACUAGGGAUAACCUUAGGAAGAGACACAUCAUCAAACCCCUUGAUUGUGUUUACUGCUUGGAAGAGUCUUGUUCUCACCUAUUUUUUGAAUGUAUAGUUGCUAAACAUUUCUGGGCUCACAUUGAGGAAUAUUUCUCUAGUCAGAUUGGCUCAUCCUUCGAAUAUGUCGCCAGAUUGUGGAUUGCUACCAAAAAGUGCUCAGUUUUAAAUACUGUUAGCUCAGCUAUCCUUUGGUGCCUCUGGAAAUAUAAAAAUGCUAUGAUUUUCAGUAACACCUCCUGGAUUUCCAUUCCGCAGGUCUUGAUGUUGAUCAGGAACAUGGUGAGGAACUGGGCGAUUCUCUCCACAGGAUCGGACAAGGACAAGUUGAUGAGCUUCGUGGAAACCCUAACAAGAUCCCUCCAGAAACCGUUGGCGAUCACUUGUGGCUGA
rnacentral:rRNA from 1 species